GGGGGGCUUAGGGAUCGGGAUGGGAGAGAAGGGACUAGGGAUCUUCUGGCCGAGAAGAGAAGGGGGGCUGAAGUGCAUAAACCGGGUUCGUUUUUAGUGAACCCGGUCUACACGUCAUGGCUGCAGUGGAUGCAGCCAAACAGUGGCUGCUCCGUAGACAUAUUCUUUUAAAAAAAGGAUGGUUUUAUUAGUGCCCUUGUGAUAGAUAAGGAAAAGUCUUUCCAGCCUCCGGUCCACAGUUCGCACACCACACUCCUGAUGCGGCGAACCCGGUUCGUCGCCCACUUCUCCCAAACCACUAUUUCUCUCAUUCGGCUCCCCCUUCUCAUGACCAAGACAACGAGCAGACGCCCUCUACUCCCAGAUCUCCCGCACACCGACGCCCCUCACCCCAACCAACACCCCAUCAGCAGAUCACUCCCCCUCACCCAUGAAACCCUAGAAGAUUUCGUCCUCACCUCUCACCCUAGCCCCUUCUUCACGUCUCUCACCUCUGAAACCCUCGAUAAACUCCAUACGGUGUGUUGAGCUUCUGUUGCAAACUCCAGACGUCGCACACCAACCAGAUUGCGUCCAGAUCUGCCUCCUUGCCAACCUGAGCUGAUUUCACUUCCAUCACAUUACCAUGACCAUGGGAAAAGCAAUAUGUCAAUUUUUCAUUUGAGCCGAUAUAUACUUCAAUUGGUAGAGAAAAAGAUUCUGACAACGGAGAAUGCAAUUCGGAAGAGAGAUGAUGAUUUAUUGUUACGUGAAUAUGAAAAUCAAAAAAAGAUAAACUAAUCAAGAGAGAAAAUGAGCUUCAGAAGCAAGAUGACAAACUUCGAAAGUGGAUUAUAGAGAAUAAGGGUGCACAUAUAUUGUUGUGUCUGUACUGAAUCAUAUCUAUUGUAAUAGUUUUUUUUAUUGGUUCGGACUAUAGUUGUAAUGUGUUAGUUUUAAAUCGGUUGUAGAUUGUUCGGACCAUAAUUGUAUGCUAUAUUGUCUAUAAAUAUAAUCAUAAUAGCUUACUAUGAUAAAA